ACAAUACUCCCUCUGUCCGGAAAUACUUGUUGGAGAAAUGAAUGUAUUUAGAUGUAUUUUAAUUCUAGAUACAUUCAUUUUCAUCCAUUCAUCCAUUUAUGCGACAAGUAAUUCCGGACGGAGGGAGUACAAU
rfam:Triticum aestivum genome assembly, contig: Triticum_aestivum_CS42_TGACv1_scaffold_049836_1BS